AGUGUUUCUAUACAGCUAAUUGGUGCAUUGCAAUUGUUAUUCUCUCUUCAGAUGGUCCAUUUUGUUUCUGUCAAAAUGCAAACAACAACACAUUUUGGUGCCUGCGAACAAUCAACGAGACGCACAAUUUUCUCUACUGUGAAUUCGUAACUGGCUUCAUUACUUUCUACGACAUGAGAAGUGAUCCUUAUCAGUUGCGAAAUGCGGUCCACGAUUUGUCGACGCAGGAGGUUCUAGAGCUACACAACUCUCUUGAAAGAUUAAAAAGGUGCCGAGGCUCUCGAGAGUGUCACUUGAAGUACAGGCCAGACGGGCGACGAGAUUUUCCUGGAUCCGUUCGUUCGAGGCAUGACAGGCAUUGGAAGAGUAGUCGUCCUGAAUGAUGGAGUGGAUACCUGACUGCUACUUGACAAAAUAUUAAAUUCUUCUCUGUGUCUUCUACAAAGGAAAGGCGCACGAAGGACAUCUCAAGCCACCCCAUAGAUGGCACGUCAGUUCCUGCAGCCAACCUUUUCUUGCUGCCCUACUUUUUGCAUUUGUGUUUAUUGCACAAACUCUGCAUUUACUAUUUUUCUUUCCCGAACAAACUCUAGUGUGCCUCAGACACAACAUACUGUAUAGACAUGUGUAAGGGUUGCAAGUUAUUUGCUGUCUUGAUGUGGUGCAACCAUGACACGGGGGCGGGCCAACACGGUUCAAUUAUUCUGGCCUUGCAUAAAUCGUCAUGAUUCCUGUGUACCAAAAGAGCAAUCAUUGUUUUUUAUAAUGCAUUACUUGCUUAAGCACGCGCACGUGCCCUGGGUGCCCAUCUAGAAUUCGCGACUAUCACUGUCACUGCUGCUCAGGCUCUGUUUGGUAGCACACGUAGAUGCAGUUGUCACCCUUGCCAUCUGUGUCAUCAAAUAUGUCCGGGCCUUCAAACUUUUUACAACAGUGUCCGGAAAUACCAUAGUCCACAUGCUCAGAAUCGGAGACAAGCUGCAAUGACAAUUUUGUUAGCAGUUACUAUUACUAUUUUUUUUUUUUUUUCAUUUUUCUUUUUUUCCAAAUUUUAUGCUACCAAGUUGGGGGUGCAGCAAUUACAUGAAUGCAUAUGGUACAUUUCAGUGACUGCAACACAAGGAAGUCUGGUCGAACCUGAAAAGGAUAAACAUCCCAACUACAAGGGAGAAAAGUUCUGAAGUACUGAAACUUGAGUGCAUUUUGGAUUUCAUUCUAAAUGAGCUGUAAAACGUGCAAGAAGCAUCUUCUGGGAAAUGCCUAGGUGGCAUACUGUAAAACUAGCAAUUGGUGUCUAGGAGGCCCAUUAGGUAAACUGCAUAAGCAUGUGCUUGGCUUUCUCUCUUUCUCCCAAGCCGAAUUACUAGUGUUAUUUCGUGGAGUAGGCAUUGUUGACUUGAGAGUGCUGCCAUGUUUUGCCAUAGUUCAAGAGAAUACUUCAAAGGAGCACUUGCACUAGUGCACUCUUGUUUUAGGAUUGUGGAUCUUUCUGGCUGUAAACUUUUCACUUGGACUUGCUAAGUUUCUGUGGUGUCAGUGACAGUGCUGUUGUAAUUUCUUGCUUCGUAUUUGAACUGUGCACAUCAUUUCAGUUCACAAAUUCGAAAUCCAAAAAGGGCAAAAUUUGUGUCGCUGAUUACUUGUUAACCUAGAACUUUUUAAAGCAUGUUUGCGUUUACUUUCUUGUAGUCUCUCUAGCUGUUUUAAUUAUUAUAUAUACUAUAUGUAUUAGUCAAAAGUAAUUCUUAAGGCCUAGCUUGAAUGCUUGGCCAGCAUGUAACUAGAUUUUAUUAGGUGCUUUCUUAUUUGUAUGUCUACAAUUUCUUUUGAAAAUGUAUUUUUUGCUACUUCUAUUAUUACUUUUUCAGUGUUUCACAGCCUUAUUGCUGAAUCUCACGUUUUCGUUCUAGGACUUUUUUCUAUAGGCUGCAAGCCAUGCUUUAUACUUGGUAUGGAGCUGUUGCUCCUAAAUUUGUUUUGAUAUCUUUUAUUUAGGAUUUCAAGUUUUGAUAGAUGUAUAUAUACACCUAUGUACUAUGAAUGCAAAUCGGCCAUGCUUAUCACUGGAACAAUUUUUUAAUCUAUUUACAUUGCAAAACUUUCCACCUACGAUACCUAUUUAUCAAUGACAUAUUUUAUUGCAUUGUAUAGUUGCAUUGGUUACUAUUUGUUGAAUUGUGCGCAUGAUGGAUUGCUCACACUGCUGCUUUAAUUGUGUGAAACAUGUAUAGAAUUGUUUAUUGUUCAGCAAGUGUUGCAAGGGCAGCCGUGUGAAAUAUUGUGCAAAUGAGUUAGACUUCAGUGUCAGUACCAAGGACAUUUUCUUCCUGGAAGUGCUUGUAAGAACUGGAAGCCUGUCUAAAACAAAUGUAACUGCCAUGUUAAUUAGUCUUGUGCUUAAUUGUGCACAAGGCAUCGUGUAACAUACUUGCCUUGGCACCGACCAUGCAAAGGAUGUAGAAUACUGUGUAGUACUUUUUGCGGACACUUUGAUUUGGUUGUGUAACAUAGUUUCGAGGUUGUGUUGGUUGUAUAGGAAUAGAACUAGGGAAUUGUGAUGUGCUUGGCACAUUACUUGCUUGUAUGUUUGCUUUUGUUGUAGGUUUGUGUCGAUUUAGGUUUCCUUCAUGUCUUCAAGAGUGCGUUGUGCUUGGUAUAAUAUAUAAUGCAUGCAAUGCAAAAAUUUUAGUCUUAAAGAUAAUUUGUGAUGCAACUGUUAGGGUCACAAGCUGCACUUGUUGCUUUUGUGUGUAUUGUGGCCUAUUUAAAAAAAAAAUGUUUUGCCUCUUUACCUUGUGGUUGUGACUUCUUGUGAUAAAAAGUAUGAUUUUGAGG
rnacentral:lncRNA from 1 species